rnacentral:tRNA from 1 species
GGGACUGUGGCUUAGUGGUAGAGUACUUACCUAGUAUGCAUGAAGCCCUGGGUUCAAUUCCUCAGUACCA